GCCAAUUUGGCUCAGUGGAUAGAGCAUCAGCCUGCAGACUGAAGAGUCCUGGGUUCAAUUCCAGUGAAGGGCA
rnacentral:tRNA from 1 species